rnacentral:lncRNA from 1 species
GUUUGCUAAUCUCUUAAUUUUUUUUUGUUCCUGGCCCAGCCCAGCCCCUUUUGUGGCUACAAAAGCUUCCUCCUAAAGGCCAGGCCCCCCAAAACCAGAAGAAGCAACUCUAUUCAAUGAACAAGUUCACCCAUACUGCAAUACCUGGCUGAAGAAGAUAAAUUAGCAAUCUCUGGGUCAUAUGAUGCACACCCUUUUUCACAGAGGGUGAGACAGACUCAGAAAAAGGCAUGAGUUGCCCAAAGCACCACAUGAGUUGCUGACAGACCCAGGAUUCAGUCAUCUUGGUUUGCUCCUCACUACACAAAGGUGUAUUCACAGAAAACAAAACUAAGUCAAUCAAUCCUUCUUUUGCAGAAUUCAGUCAGCAUGGGUGAUUGCUUUUUCUAAAGAGCUCUUCAGUUUUACUGGUUCUAUCUACAUUUGUUUAGCACUUACAAUAUGCAGGCACUGUACUCAGCACCUUACAUUUUACCUAGGAAAUGGGAUUCCCAUUUCACACACAAGGCACAAAGAAACUGAACAAGGGUGCAACCAUCAAGAAUCUCCACUCAAGCACCAUGGAAAGUGAGCAAUUUGCUGCCAAAGCUUCGGGUAAAAUGUCAUGUCAAAGAGAGAGGCCUGAGGGUCCACUUGGAAGCCAUAAUCCUUGUGAUUUAAGUUUUUGUCAUCCCAAUGCAAACCUCUCAUUUCUCCAUCACUUUCUUUUUCACCCCAGCCAAUAACCGGACUAAGGAAAGGCUAAGACCUGUCACCCUGGCACAGCCCCCUGGAGCCACUGGCACAGUGCAGAACCACCAGUACCCUCCUAGAGAGCCCCCCUAGAUGAGACCUGAUUACUAUGUCUUUCUCCUCCUUCCCUCCCCAGCACAGAGUCCACCAGGGAUUUCUAAGACAAUUCAGUUCUAAGCUUGCCUGAAGGGUGCUGCUGGCAGAGACCAAGGCCCAGCCUGGCAGAUUCUUAGCAGGUUUUGGCAUGGAAGACCUGCUCUACUGUGUACACAGGGAGAGAGCCAAUCCCAGUGCUGGGGUAAAACCCUAGAGAGGGGUCAGCUGGCAUCUAGGAAGGAGCCUGAAUGCCAAGUUCAGUCCUACCCAUGGACCCCAAGGAACCUGCCCUGUGCCAGGACCCAAGCUCCAAUGACCUUACUACCAACUUCCUCUCCUAAACUAUUGAGUUUUUCAUUUAAAAAAAAA